CCUACGGGUGGCAGCAGUAGGGAAUUUUGCGCAAUGGACGACAGCCUGACGCAGCAACGCCGCGUGAACGAGACGCCCUUCGUGGUUUAAAGUUCUGUCAUUUGUGACGAUAGAUGACUGUACCCACAGAGUAAUCACCGGCUAACUCCGUUCCAGCAGCCGCGAUAAUACGGAGGGUGCCAGCGUUGUCCGUAUUCAUUGGGCGUAAAGCGUUCGUAGGCGGUAUGUUAAGUCUGGUGUUAAAUGCAGCAGCUCAACUUCUGUUGGGCACUGGAUACUGGCAAACUAGAAUACGGUAGAGGUGAAGGGAAUUCGUGGUGUAGCGGUGAAAUGCUUAGAUAUCAGGAGGAACACCGGUGGCGUAGGCACUUUACUGGGCUGUAAUUGACGCUGAGGAACGAAAGCCAGGGUAGCAAAUGGGAUUAGAUACCCGGGUAGUC
rnacentral:rRNA from 1 species